GGUUGAAAGGAUCGUAGUUGGAUUUCUGCCGAGGACAGUCGGUCCGCCUUUGCGGGUGAGCAUCUGAAUGGCCCUGGGCAUAUUUUCUGAAGGCUGCUCUGCAUUUCAUUGUGUGGAACGGUACUCGGGACCUGUACUUUGACGAAAUUCCAGUGUUUCAGGCAUGCGCUUGUGGUGAACACAUUCGCAUGGAAUUAUAAGAUUAGGAUUCGUGGCAUAGUUAGUUGGUUUGUGUGCCAUAGGUAAUGAUUAAUAGGUAUAGUUGGGGGCAUUCGUAUUUAAUUGUCAGAGGUGAAGCCCUUGGAUUUGUUAAAGACGAACUAGUGCGAAAGCAUUCGCCAAGGAUGUUUUCAUUGAUCAAGAACGAAAGUGCGGGGAUCGAAGACGAUCAGAUACAGUCGUAGUCUUAACCAUAAACCAUGCCGACUAGAGUUUGGGGGCCGUUAGUUUUAUGACUCCUGCGGCACCUUGUGAGAAAUCAAAGUCUUUGGGUUCUGGGGGGAGUAUCGUCGCAAGGCUGAAACUUAAAGGAAGUGACGGAAGGGCACCGCACGGAUUGGAGCCUGCGGCUUAAUUUGACUCAACACGGGGAAAACGCACCAA
rnacentral:rRNA from 1 species